AUGCAGUUCGAGCUGCGAAAACGCGGUCAUGGCGGCGCCAUGGAUCUGAAGCCUGGAUCCAAAUCCAGUUCUUUCCCGGAUCGAAUUGGCGCGGGGCGGGAAGGAUCUAUAACUAGUCCACCUGCUCUAAGUUUGUUCAUCCACCCAUCCACCAUGGAAGCUCCAGAUCGGGAUUGGUCCGAGCUACCAAUCGACAUAUUGUGCGACGUGCUCAAGUUGCUCGAGUGCCCGGACCUCCUCAGAUCCGCCGCCGUCUGCUCAAUCUGGUACAAGGCGUACUCCACGCAACGCUCCAUCAGUGCUUGCCCUGGACACCAAACACCAUGUCUGCUCUAUUGCACCGAGGCCGCCGGCGGGCUAAAAGCUCUUGGCAUGUACAGCCUCUCCGAGCAAAAGGCCUAUACCAUGCCGUUCCCUGAACAUCCCAUCAAGAACUGGUUCGGCUCAUCCCACGGAUGGCUAGUCACUAUGGAUGACAAGUCUGACCUGAUGCUGCUCAACCCAAUUACCGGCAACACUAAUGUACUCCCUCCAGUGACAACCAUGGAGCAUGUUAAACCUAUCCUAAACGGGGGCGAGGUUCUUGAAAAGUAUGAGGUGUUUUACUAUGAUGGAGAGCUUCCUAGGGUCGUGGACGAGGACACCAGUAUAUUUUCUUUGGAGGAGUAUGGUCAUAUGGUCUACCUAAAGGCAACUUUAUCGUGUGAUCCAUCGGUAGGUGCAUGCAUCGUCAUGCUCAUCCACCAGCCGUACGGGCAGCUCUCGUUUGUCAAGGUAGGAGACACUCGCUGGAAUUGGCUCAACAUGGGUAUUAACUAUACAGAUUGUAUAUACCACGACGGAUGGUUCUAUGCAGUUACUCAUGGAGGCGCAAUUGAUGCAUACAAUUUAAAUGGACCGUCUGUCAUCCAAAAAAGAUUUUUACGCAGAAUAAUUCGGACGGUUUCAAAAUGUCACAUUGUUCAGGCAGAAUGGGGAGAUGUCCUCCAAAUCAUUAGGAAGGAGAUUCUCGAUCCUGAACGACCGGACAGUCAUACAUGGAUCCCUGAAAUCAAAGUGUACAGGGUUGAUUUUGAUAAGGAGAAGUGUGUCAGCAUAACAGAUAUAGGGGACUAUGUGUUGUUCAUUGGGAGCAGCACAACGUCUUGUUUAAGCGUGAAGGACUAUCCAGACUUGAUGCCAAACCAUGUCUAUUUCACUGAUGAUGACGACGGAGCACACAUACUUGAGAAAGACUACCCUCCCAAGGUUGGGAUUUACAACAUUAAAAAUAAUACCACGGUGAAUGUGGUUCAUCCUGAACUUUGGAUGAAUUGGUUGCCCCCCAUAUGGUUGACGCCGAGUCUUGAGAAAACGGGAUCUCAAGAUAAUAACGGCGGGGGCGGUAAUUCCAUUGCGGUCAUCAAUAACCAGUUGGAAACAACAGAAUUGGCAUCAAUAAAUUGA
rnacentral:rRNA from 1 species